rnacentral:tRNA from 1 species
UAGGGUAUCGCCAAGUGGUAAGGCGUCAGAUUUUGAUUCUGGCAUUCGAAGGUUCGAAUCCUUCUACCCUA